GCCAGCGGCCGAAGGUGGGAUUAGUGAUUGGGGUGAAGUCGUAACAAGGUAGCCGUAGGAGAACCUGCGGCUGGAUCACCUCCUUUCUAAGGAGA
rnacentral:rRNA from 1 species